GACGAACGCUGGCGGCGUGCCUAAUACAUGCAAGUCGAGCGGACGUUUUGUUGGUGCUUGCACCGACUUAACGUUAGCGGCGGACGGGUGAGUAACACGUGGGUAACCUGCCCUGUAGUCUGGGAUAACUCCGGGAAACCGGGGCUAAUACCGGAUGAUACUUUUUAAUUCAUGUUAGAAAGUUGAAAGAUGGUUCUGCUAUCGCUACAGGAUGGGCCCGCGGCGCAUUAGCUAGUUGGUGAGGUAACGGCUCACCAAGGCAACGAUGCGUAGCCGACCUGAGAGGGUGAUCGGCCACACUGGGACUGAGACACGGCCCAGACUCCUACGGGAGGCAGCAGUAGGGAAUCUUCCACAAUGGACGAAAGUCUGAUGGAGCAACGCCGCGUGAGUGAAGAAGGAUUUCGGUUCGUAAAACUCUGUUGUAAGGGAAGAACAAGUACAGUAGUAACUGGCUGUACCUUGACGGUACCUUAUUAGAAAGCCACGGCUAACUACGUGCCAGCCGCCGCAGUAAAAC
rnacentral:rRNA from 1 species